UUAAGUUAUUAAGGGCGCACGGUGGAUGCCUUGGCACUAGAAGCCGAUGAAGGACGUUACUAACGACGAUAUGCUUUGGGGAGCUGUAAGUAAGCUUUGAUCCAGAGAUUUCCGAAUGGGGAAACCCAGCAUGAGUUAUGUCAUGUUAUCGAUAUGUGAAUACAUAGCAUAUCAGAAGGCACACCCGGAGAACUGAAACAUCUUAGUACCCGGAGGAAGAGAAAGAAAAUUCGAUUCCCUUAGUAGCGGCGAGCGAAACGGGAAGAGCCCAAACCAACAAGCUUGCUUGUUGGGGUUGUAGGACACUCUGUACGGAGUUACAAAGGACGACAUUAGACGAAUCAUCUGGAAAGAUGAAUCAAAGAAGGUAAUAAUCCUGUAGUCGAAAAUGUUGUCUCUCUUGAGUGGAUCCUGAGUACGAUGGAGCACGUGAAAUUCCGUCGGAAUCUGGGAGGACCAUCUCCUAAGGCUAAAUACUCUCUAGUGACCGAUAGUGAACCAGUACCGUGAGGGAAAGGUGAAAAGCACCCCGGAAGGGGAGUGAAAUAGAACCUGAAACCGUGUGCUUACAAGUAGUCAGAGCCCGUUAAUGGGUGAUGGCGUGCCUUUUGUAGAAUGAACCGGCGAGUUACGAUUUGAUGCAAGGUUAAGCAGUAAAUGUGGAGCCGUAGCGAAAGCGAGUCUGAAUAGGGCGUUUAGUAUUUGGUCGUAGACCCGAAACCAGGUGAUCUACCCUUGGUCAGGUUGAAGUUCAGGUAACACUGAAUGGAGGACCGAACCGACUUACGUUGAAAAGUGAGCGGAUGAACUGAGGGUAGCGGAGAAAUUCCAAUCGAACCUGGAGAUAGCUGGUUCUCUCCGAAAUAGCUUUAGGGCUAGCCUCAAGUGAUGAUUAUUGGAGGUAGAGCACUGUUUGGACGAGGGGCCCCUCUCGGGUUACCGAAUUCAGACAAACUCCGAAUGCCAAUUAAUUUAACUUGGGAGUCAGAACAUGGGUGAUAAGGUCCGUGUUCGAAAGGGAAACAGCCCAGACCACCAGCUAAGGUCCCAAAAUAUAUGUUAAGUGGAAAAGGAUGUGGCGUUGCCCAGACAACUAGGAUGUUGGCUUAGAAGCAGCCAUCAUUUAAAGAGUGCGUAAUAGCUCACUAGUCGAGUGACACUGCGCCGAAAAUGUACCGGGGCUAAACAUAUUACCGAAGCUGUGGAUUGUCCUUUGGACAAUGGUAGGAGAGCGUUCUAAGGGCGUUGAAGCAUGAUCGUAAGGACAUGUGGAGCGCUUAGAAGUGAGAAUGCCGGUGUGAGUAGCGAAAGACGGGUGAGAAUCCCGUCCACCGAUUGACUAAGGUUUCCAGAGGAAGGCUCGUCCGCUCUGGGUUAGUCGGGUCCUAAGCUGAGGCCGACAGGCGUAGGCGAUGGAUAACAGGUUGAUAUUCCUGUACCACCUAUAAUCGUUUUAAUCGAUGGGGGGACGCAGUAGGAUAGGCGAAGCGUGCGAUUGGAUUGCACGUCUAAGCAGUAAGGCUGAGUAUUAGGCAAAUCCGGUACUCGUUAAGGCUGAGCUGUGAUGGGGAGAAGACAUUGAGUCUUCGAGUCGUUGAUUUCACACUGCCGAGAAAAGCCUCUAGAUAGAAAAUAGGUGCCCGUACCGCAAACCGACACAGGUAGUCAAGAUGAGAAUUCUAAGGUGAGCGAGCGAACUCUCGUUAAGGAACUCGGCAAAAUGACCCCGUAACUUCGGGAGAAGGGGUGCUCUUUAGGGUUAACGCCCAGAAGAGCCGCAGUGAAUAGGCCCAAGCGACUGUUUAUCAAAAACACAGGUCUCUGCUAAACCGUAAGGUGAUGUAUAGGGGCUGACGCCUGCCCGGUGCUGGAAGGUUAAGAGGAGUGGUUAGCUUCUGCGAAGCUACGAAUCGAAGCCCCAGUAAACGGCGGCCGUAACUAUAACGGUCCUAAGGUAGCGAAAUUCCUUGUCGGGUAAGUUCCGACCCGCACGAAAGGCGUAACGAUUUGGGCACUGUCUCAACGAGAGACUCGGUGAAAUCAUAGUACCUGUGAAGAUGCAGGUUACCCGCGACAGGACGGAAAGACCCCGUGGAGCUUUACUGUAGCCUGAUAUUGAAAUUCGGCACAGCUUGUACAGGAUAGGUAGGAGCCUUUGAAACGUGAGCGCUAGCUUACGUGGAGGCGCUGGUGGGAUACUACCCUAGCUGUGUUGGCUUUCUAACCCGCACCACUUAUCGUGGUGGGAGACAGUGUCAAGCGGGCAGUUUGACUGGGGCGGUCGCCUCCUAAAAGGUAACGGAGGCGCUCAAAGGUUCCCUCAGAAUGGUUGGAAAUCAUUCAUAGAGUGUAAAGGCAUAAGGGAGCUUGACUGCGAGACCUACAAGUCGAGCAGGGUCGAAAGACGGACUUAGUGAUCCGGUGGUUCCGCAUGGAAGGGCCAUCGCUCAACGGAUAAAAGCUACCCCGGGGAUAACAGGCUUAUCUCCCCCAAGAGUUCACAUCGACGGGGAGGUUUGGCACCUCGAUGUCGGCUCAUCGCAUCCUGGGGCUGUAGUCGGUCCCAAGGGUUGGGCUGUUCGCCCAUUAAAGCGGUACGCGAGCUGGGUUCAGAACGUCGUGAGACAGUUCGGUCCCUAUCCGUCGUGGGCGUAGGAAAUUUGAGAGGAGCUGUCCUUAGUACGAGAGGACCGGGAUGGACAUACCUCUGGUGUACCAGUUGUCGUGCCAACGGCAUAGCUGGGUAGCUAUGUGUGGACGGGAUAAGUGCUGAAAGCAUCUAAGCAUGAAGCCCCCCUCAAGAUGAGAUUUCCCAACUUCGGUUAUAAGAUCCCUCAAAGAUGAUGAGGUUAAUAGGUUCGAGGUGGAAGCAUGGUGACAUGUGGAGCUGACGAAUACUAAUCGAUCGAAGACUUAAUCAA
rnacentral:rRNA from 1 species